UACGUAGGGUGCAAGCGUUGUUCGGAAUCAUUGGGCGUAAAGCGCGUGUAGGCGGUUAGUUAAGUCGGGUGUGAAAUCCCUGGGCUCAACCGAGGAAGUGCAUUCGAAACUAGCUAGCUAGAAGAUGGUAGAGGAAGGUGGAAUUCCUAGUGUAGAGGUGAAAUGCGUAGAUAUCGGGAGGAACACCAGUGGCGAAGGCGGCUUCCUGGCCUGUUCUUGACGCUGAGGCGCGAAAGCGUGGGGAGCAAACAGG
rnacentral:rRNA from 1 species